rnacentral:lncRNA from 1 species
CGAAACCGCCCGUGCCAGAGUUGGCGAGAUAGUGCUCUUCAAGUCACAAGUAUAUACGUAUCAGUCGGCUUAACUUGUACUAAAUAAAUCUCCUUGGGCGUUCGUAUACAUAAUGCCACCAGGAGGCGAUAGAGACUUGAUAGUAUUUAACAACGACGACAAUAGGCGUGUGUAUGGUUCUCCGAUAGAAUCAGCGAAGGUUCACCCCUUUGCGCACGACUGUGACGACGACGACAACAACAGGCCCAUGAACCUGCCGUUCAGUGUGACCGCACGGCUUUACCAGCGUGAUAUCGCGUAAGAGUUUACUCUUACGCCUCCAGCGAAGCCGAUUCAACUUGUUUUCGCUCUUACGUUGAAGUGUCACUAAUGGGCAAGGUGAAUGGAGGCGUAUCGGCUAAGACAGAUAAUGAAUGGGGCAGCCGCCCCUUGAAACUACCGGAGGAAAGCGAAAGUUAUGUUGCAUUUGACUGAAUGACGUUUGCGCGGAUCGGGC